UCCGGUUGAUCCCGCCGGACCCCACUGCUAUCGGGGUAGGACUAAGACAUGCUAGUCGAGUGAUUCAGGCAAAGCGAGUCACGGCACACAGCUCAGUAACACGUGGCUAAUCUGCCCUUAGGACGAGAACAACCCCGGGAAACUGGGGCUAACUCUCGAUAGGCGAAGAACUCUGGAAUGAGUCUUUACCUAAAUAGUGCAACGUUAUCCUCGUUGCAUCGCCUAAGGAUGAGGCCGCGACCGAUCAGGUUGUUGGCGAGGUAAUGGCUCACCAAGCCUUUUACCGGUGCGGGCCGUGAGAGCGGGAGCCCGGAGAUGGGCACUGAGACAAGGGCCCAGGCCCUACGGGGCGCAGCAGUCGCGAAAACUUUGCAAUAAGCGAAAGCUUGACAGGGCUAUCCCGAGUGCCAUCCGCUGAGGAAGGCUUUUACCCAGUCUAGAACGCUGGGGGAAUAAGGAGAGGGCAAGUCUGGUGUCAGCCGCCGCGGUAAUACCAGCUCUCCGAGUGGUGUGGAUGUUUAUUGGGCCUAAAGCAUCCGUAGCUGGCUAGGUCAGUCCCUUGUUAAAUCCACCGAAUUAAUCGUGGAUUGCGGGGGAUACUGCUUGGCUAGGGGACGAGAGAGGCAGACGGUAUUUUCGGGGUAGGGUGAAAUCCUAUAAUCCCGGGAGAACCACCAGUGGGGAAGGCUGUGUGCUAGAACGCGCCCGACGGUGAGGGAUGAAAGCAGGGGGGAGCGAACCGGAUUAGAUACCGGGGGUAGUCCCAGCUGUAACCGAUGCAGACUCGGUGAUGAAUUGGCAUUAUGCCAAUUCAGUGCCGCAGGGAAGCCGUUAAGUUUGCCGCUUGGGGAGCACGGUCGAAGGCUUGAACUUAAAAGGGAUU
rnacentral:rRNA from 1 species